GAUGAACGCCGGCGGCGUGCCUAAUACAUGCAAGUCGAGCGGACCAAAGCGAGCUUGCUCUCUGAGGUUAGCGGCGGACGGGUGAGUAACACGUGGGUAACCUGCCUGUAAGACGGGGAUAACUUCGGGAAACCGAAGCUAAUACCGGAUGAUAAAGAGAAACGCCUGUUUCUUUUUUGAAAGCCAGCCUUGUCCUGACGAUUACAGAUGGCCCCCCGGCGCAUUAGCUCGUCGGUGAGGUAACGGCUCACCAAGGCAGCGAUGCGUAGCCGACCUGGGAGGGUGAUCGGCCACACUGGGACUGAGACACGGCCCAGACUCCUACGGGAGGCAGCAGUAGAGAAUCUUCGGCAAUGGACGAAAGUCUGACCGAGCAACGCCGCGUGAGAGAUGAAGGCCUUCGGGUCGUAAAGCUCUGUUGUCAGAGAAGAACAAGUACCGGAGUAACUGCCGGUACCUUGACGGUACCUGACCAGAAAGCCACGGCUAACUACGUGCCAGCAGCUGCAGUAA
rnacentral:rRNA from 1 species